AUGCUGAAGGCGAUGGACACUUAGCACGAAGCUCUUGUUGGAGAAGCAUUUGGAUAAUGUUGCCUUGGAAACAACAGCAGUUGCCAUUAGAGGAGGAUCGUAGGAAGGAAGG